UGCGGACGCCCCGGGGACAGCCCAGCGCCCAGGGCUGUCCUCCAGGCCACGCCCCUCGGGCCCGCCUCCGCCAGCGCGGGUCCCUUUAAGGGCGGCGAGGCCGCAGCCUCGCUCUGGGGCUUGAGCCUGCGCGCUCGUUUCCCGCGCGCCCCGCGCGCCCCGCGCGCCACGAGCCCCGCGCGCCCCACGCAUCCCGCGCGUCCCCGGCCCCGCGCGCGCCCCCCGCAUCCCGCGACCCCGACGCCCGCUCCCCUGUCCGCAGUGUCUCCUCCCGCGGACAUGGCCCCGGUGUUCGCGGCGAGCGCCCGCCAGGGGCCAUGAUCCGGCUGCGCGGCUGGUGCGCGCGGAGGCCCCGCGGCGCAGCGGUGCCUGCGGGGCCCGCUGGGCUGCGCUGGGCGUCGGGCGGGCCUGCCGGCCGCGCCCUGCGGGUGCUGGUGGACAUGGACGGCGUGCUGGCCGACUUCGAGGGCGGCUUCCUCAGGAAGUUCCGCGCGCGCUUCCCCGACCAGCCCUUCAUCGCGCUGGAGGACCGGCGCGGCUUCUGGGUGUCGGAGCAGUACGACCGCCUGCAGCCCGGGCUGAGCGAGAAGGCGAUCAGCAUCUGGGAGUCGGAGAAUUUCUUCUUUGACCUCGAGCCUCUGCCAGGCGCUGUGGAGGCUGUGAAGCAGAUGGCCAACCUGGAGAGAUGUGCACCAAGGAGUGGAACUGCUGGGUCCUAUGCUGAAUCCAAACUACUUUCAAAGCAGCUGCACCAUUUUACAUUCCCAGUAGCAAUGUCUGAGGGAUCCAACUUCUCCCCAGCACUUGCUAUGGUCUUUUUUUUUUUUUUGCCUUUUUUUUGCGGUACGCGGGCCUCUCACUGUUGUGGCCUCUCCCGCUGCGGAGCACAGGCUCCGGACGCGCAGGCUCAGCGGCCAUGGCUCACGGGCCCAGCCGCUCCGCGGCACGUGGGAUCCUCCCGGACCGGGGCAUGAACCCGCGUCCCCUGCAUCGGCAGGCGGACUCUCCACCACUGCGCCACCAGGGAAGCCCGCUAUGGUCUUUUUGAUUCCAGCCAUUCUAGUGGGUGUGAAGUGAUAUCUCAUUGUGGUUUUAAUUUGCAUUUCUCUGAAGACUAAUGAUGUUAAGCAUCUUUUGGUGUGCAUAUUAGCUAUUUGUAUAUCUUUUUUGGAUAAAUGGUUAUUCAAAUCCUUUGCUAAUUUUUUUUUCAAUUUAUUUGUCUUUUUUUGUUAUUGUUAACUCAUAAGACUGCUUUAUAUGUCCUGGAUAACAAGUCCCUUGGGAGAUAUAUGACUUGCAGAUAUAUUCUCUCAUUCUGUGGAUUGUUGCUUUACUUUCUGGGUGGGGUCCUUUGAAACCCGAAGUUUUUAUUUUGAUAUAAUUCCAUUUAUUUAUUUUUUUCUUUUGUCGUUUGUGUUUUUGGUGCCGUAUGUAAGGAUCCUUUGCCUAAUCCAAGGUCACAAAGAUUUGCUCCUGUGUUUUCUUCUAAGAGUUUUAUAGUUUAAGCUCUUAUAUUUAGGUCUUUGAUCCAUUUUAAUUUUUGCAUAUGGUGUGAGGAAGGGGGUCCCACUUCCUUCUUUGUCGUGUGGAAAAUCCAGUUGUCCCAGAACCAUUUGUUGAAAAGACUCUUCUUUCCUCUGUUGAAUGGUCUUGGCUUCCUUGUUAAAAGUUAGGCCACAGAUGUUAGGAUUUACUACUCUGGUCUAUGAUUUGAACCUGAUUUACACCAGAAUCAUGUACUGUAACUUCUUCCACCUGUAGCAAGAGCCUGGCGAGGCAAAGAAUGUGUAGUUUUGCACCAAAGCUUUUAAAAGCUCUGUUCUUGUCUGGAUCCUCACUUCCUGGACCACGUUCACCAACUGUAUUCUGGGGAGCUGGAUUGCACGGUGGUCAAGUCUCAGUGUGAACUGGAGUUAGACCGCUUCUCCAGAAUCGACCCCUCAGCAAGUCUCUAAACUUUCAGUUUCUUCAUCCGUAAAAUGUGUGCAGUGUAAAUGUUAGCUGCCACUGCUACUAUUCUGCAGGACUUAAUAGGUGUGCAACAGAAGGGUGUUCUUUUUUUUUUAAUAUGUAUUUGUUUAUUAUUUAUUUAUUUUGGCUGCACCGGGUCUUAGUUGCGGCAUGUGGGAUCUUAGUUCCCUGACCAGGGAUCGAACCCGGGCCCCCUGCAUUGGGAGUGUGGAGUCUUAACCACUGGACCACCAGGGAAGUCCCAAGAAGAGUGUUCUUUGACCAAAGCAGCAUGGGAAACAUCGAUGAGCGGAGUCUUUCCUGUGGGACUUCUCAGAGCCUUUAGUUUGUGGACGUGCAUUGAGAUUCUUCAGGGGGCGGCAGAGGAGGAAGCUUUCUUUAUUUUUAAAUUUAUUUUUAUUUUUGGCUGCAUUGGGUCUUUGUUGCUGUGCGCGGGCUUUCUCUAGUUGCGGCGAGCGGGGGCUGCUCUUUGUUGCGGUGCGCGGGCUUCUCACUGAGGCAGCUUUCAGGGAGCACGGGCUCUAGGCGCGUGGGCUUCAGUAGUUGUGGCGCAUGGGCUCAGUAGUUGUGGCUCACGGACUUAGUUGCUCCGUGGCAUGUGGGAUCUUCCCAGAUCAGGGCUCGAACCUGUGUCCCCGGCGUUGGCAGGUGGAUUCCUAACCACUGCACCACCAGGGAAGCCCCAAGGAGGCAGCUUUCUUCUCGUGGGUUCUGGUCCGGAGCACUUUUUCACAGCUGCCCUAUUAACUCAUUCGCAGAAAUUCCAGUCUGAGAUGUCCAGGUUGAGACCACACCACUGGUCCUUUACUUCCACUUUGGCGCUUAGCGGGUGGGCGAUUCUGACGGUCAGUCCAUGCCCAGAGUUUGGGCUGAGAGAGGGGUCUAGCGGAUGGCUAAUCAAGUGGAUGGCUCUGUAUCUUGUGCUUUGUGCAGGAAAUGAGCAAGGUGACGUGUUAGAGGUCACCGGGGAGGGGCUACUUCAGGUGCAGGUGCUUCUCCAAGGGGGUGAUAUCUGACGUCAGACCUGUAGGAUCGGAAUGAGUAGUGAAGGGCGGCGGGGAGCAAGGGUACAGGCCCUGGGAGGGGAAGGGGUUUGCUGACUUGGGUAGCAAACGAGACCAGGAGGGUGAGGUUUCAGUGAGUGUGGGGCAGGUGGGAUGUGGAGGAAGAGGUUGAAGAGAGAAGGGUGUCAUCUAACUCAGGUUUUAAAAACAUGGGCUCGGGCGCUGAGUUCGGCGUUUCCUUGGCAUUUCUCCAAAGAAGAGCUACAGAUGGCGAUUAAGGGCGUGAAAGUUUGCCUCAACAUCGUUCGUCCUUAGGGAAAUAAGGCAGAACCACAGUAAAAAGCCGCUCUGCACCACUAGAACGACUGUCGUAAAAAAGAUGGACGAUCGUGGGUGUAGCCAAGGAUGGAGAGCUGGGAAUCCUUAUCGCUGGUGGUGGGAUUGUAACCGGCGCAGCUGCCUUGGAAACCGCAUCCUCAGGAUGUUGGAUACAGAGCCGCCUGUAACCCAGCAGUCACACCCGAGAGAAACGGAGACACAGGUCCACACGGACCCUGCACACGGGCGUCCCCAGCGCCACAGUUCCCGGGUGGAAGCGGCCCCACUGUCCAUCCGUGGUAGCAUGUAAACUGAACGUGGAGCAUCUAUACGAGGGAUGUUACUGGGCAGUAAAAAGGCCCACAGUUCCAGUGCCCUUGAAAACAUGACCCUGAAUGAAAGAAGCCAGUCGCAAGAGACCAUGUACCGUGGGGUUCUGUUAACAUGAGAUGUCCAGAACAGGCAAAUCCACGGAGAUGGGAAGCAGGCGGAGACCCAGGGUGCCCGGGACGCCACGCCCUCUGGCCGGGGCCUCAGUCUGACGCAGGCCUCUCGGGACUGCUCUCCAGGGAUCCCAUCCCCCGUGGGCUUGGCCCGAUGAGACAGUAGGUGCCGCUCCGGGGGCAGGCGCCAGCUCGAUGAGGACAGGGGACCAGCCGGUACUGUUGGCGGGCGCCAGGCCCGGGGCCGCGGGGGGAGCUGGCGCAGCACAGACCCCGAGGGUCCACCAGGGUCCACAGGAGUGCGUGAAGCCUGAGCCGCCCGGCCGCACCCUUGACCUAGAGACUCCGGCUCGGCUUGUAGGUUUCCUGCCUCUGCGCCGUGUGAGGCCCUGAUCACGGAUGUCUUCAUCUGCACCAGCCCCACCAAGAUGUACAAGUACUGUCCCUUCGAGAAGUACGCCUGGGUGGAGAAGCACUUCGGCCCUGACUUUCUAGAGCAGAUCGUGCUGACCAGAGACAAGACCG